GGAAAUAGUAAAAACCUUCAGUAAAUUAAGGCAGAAAGGGACCGUUAUGGAAUAUCAGGAGCAUUUUGAAGAGUUGAAAUCCCAGGUAAUGGUAUCCUUACCUCACUUACCCGAGUCGUAUUACAUUUCGAUUUUCACCAGUGGCCUGAAAGACGAAAUCAAAUCUGUGGUGAAGAUGAUUCAACCCUCUAUCCUUUCCAAAGCUUUUGAGAUUGCCUUCUUACAGGUGAAUACCAUAUCAACCUUAAACAAAGGACCCAAAUCCUUCAAACCACACCCCUACUCUAAAUUGUCCAAUCCAAGUCCUAACCCCAAGCCGAAUGAAGCCACAAAUAAACCUAACACCUAUUCAGAUCCUAUCCCCAGAAACUCUAAUAACUCUCUUAAAUUUAAAGCCAUUAUCCCUACAGAUUUUCAAACUAAAAGGGAAUUGGGGCUGUAUUACAAAUGUGAUGAAAAGUAUACUAAAGAGCACGUAUGCAGGAAUAAAAUGCUCAAUUUCAUACUAGUAGAUGAAGAGGGUGACGGGGAAGUUGAUGAACCAAUUGAUGGGAUGGAAGAACAGGUGAGCCAGGAAGUGAAGGAUGAAGUAAUGCAGAUAUCCAUCUAUGCAUUAUUAGGCAGCCCUAUGGUGAAGACAAUUAGACUCCCUGGCAUGAUUAAAAGAAGAAAGGUGUCUAUAUUAAUUAAUAGUGGGAGUACCCACAGUUUCAUAGAUGAACAUUUGGCACAAUUGAUCAACUGUAAGGUGCAACAAGCAAAACUCACUUCAGUAACUGUGGCGGAAGGUGGGAAAUUGGUCAACGAAGUGAUGUGUAACCCAUUAAUCUGGAGGAUGCAGGAUUCGAAAUUUCAGUUUUAGCUGAGGGUGCUUAAAUUGAGAGGAAGUGAUAUGGUACUUGGAGUGGAUUGGCCAAGCCAAUUUAGCCCUGUGUUGUUUGAUUUUGUUAAAAGGAGUAUACUUUCACUCAUGAGGAUGCAGAAAUUAAGCUUCAGAAUAAAGCCGUAAGAGAAGAAUUCCA
rnacentral:lncRNA from 1 species